UGGGGAAUAUUGCACAAUGGGCGAAAGCCUGAUGCAGCGACGCCGCGUGAGGGAUGACGGCCUUCGGGUUGUAAACCUCUUUCAGUAGGGAAGAAGCGAAAGUGACGGUACCUGCAGAAGAAGCGCCGGCUAACUACGUGCCAGCAGCCGCGGUCAUACGUAGGGCGCAAGCGUUAUCCGGAAUUAUUGGGCGUAAAGAGCUCGUAGGCGGUUUGUCGCGUCUGCCGUGAAAGUCCGGGGCUCAACUCCGGAUCUGCGGUGGGUACGGGCAUACUAGAGUGAUGUAGGGGAGACUGGAAUUCCUGGUGUAGCGGUGAAAUGCGCAGAUAUCAGGAGGAACACCGAUGGCGAAGGCAGGUCUCUGGGCAUUAACUGACGCUGAGGAGCGAAAGCAUGGGGAGCGAACAGG
rnacentral:rRNA from 1 species